GCACAGCUAAGUUUCGACGUAUAACGUGCAGGUCGCCCUAUAUGAAAUGGUCGCAACCCGUAACGUUAUAUUUCGGAACUCUUGUGAGUGCA
rnacentral:pre_miRNA from 1 species